rnacentral:rRNA from 1 species
GGCUAAGCCAUGGGAGUCGUACACCCCCGGGAAGGGGGUGUGGCGGACGGCUGAGUAACACGUGGCUAACCUACCCUCGGGACGGGGAUAACCCCGGGAAACUGGGGAUAAUCCCCGAUAGGGGAAGAGUCCUGGAACGGUUCUUCCCCUAAAGGGCUAUGGGCUGUUCCCGCUCAUAGCCGCCCGAGGAUGGGGCUGCGGCCCAUCAGGCUGUUGGCGGAGUAAAGGCCCGCCAAACCUAUAACGGGUAGGGGCCGUGGGAGCGGGAGCCCCCAGUUGGGCACUGAGACAAGGGCCCAGGCCCUACGGGGCGCACCAGG